rnacentral:rRNA from 1 species
AUUGAACGCUGGCGGCAUGCCUAACACAUGCAAGUCGAACGGCAGCACAGCAGUAGCAAUACUGUGGGUGGCGAGUGGCGGACGGGUGAGGAAUACGUCGGAAUCUGCCCAGUCGUGGGGGAUAACUAGCCGAAAGGUUAGCUAAUACCGCAUACGACCGAGAGGUGAAAGCGGGGGACCGCAAGGCCUCGCGCGAUUGGAUGAGCCGACGUCGGAUUAGCUAGUUGGUGGGGUAAAAGGCCUACCAAGGCGACGAUCCGUGGCUGGUCUGAGAGGAUGAUCAGCCACACUGGAACUGAGACACGGUCCAGACUCCUACGGGAGGCAGCAGUGGGGAAUAUUGGACAAUGGGCGCAAGCCUGUCCAGCAAUGCCGCGUGUGUGAAGAAGGCCUCGGUUGUAAAGCACUUUAUCAGGAACGAAAAGGCGACGGACUAAUACUCUGUCGUGCUGACGGUACCUGAGGAAUAAGCACCGGCUAACUUCGUGCCAGCAGCCGCGGUAAUACGAAGGGCUGCAAGCGUUAAUCGGAAUUACUGGGCGUAAAGCGUGCGUAGAUGGUGCGUUAAGUCGGAUGCG